rnacentral:rRNA from 1 species
CCUACGGGAGGCAGCAGUGGGGAAUUUUGGACAAUGGGGGAAACCCUGAUCCAGCCAUUCCGCGUGAGUGAAGAAGGCCUUCGGGUUGUAAAGCUCUUUCGGCAGGAACGAAACGGCGGACUCUAACAUAGUCUGUCAAUGACGGUACCUGAAGAAGAAGCACCGGCUAACUACGUGCCAGCAGCCGCGGUAAUACGUAGGGUGCGAGCGUUAAUCGGAAUUACUGGGCGUAAAGCGUGCGCAGGCGGCUUUGUAAGACGGAUGUGAAAUCCCUGGGCUUAACCGAGGAACUGCGUUCGGGACUGCAAAGCUAGAGUGCGGCAGAGGGGGGUGGAAUUCCUGGUGUAGCAGUGAAAUGCGUAGAGAUCAGGAGGAACACCGAUGGCGAGGGCGGCCUCCGGGGCUUCCCCUGACGCUGAGGUGCGAAAGCGUGGGGAGCGAACCGGAUUAGAUCCCCCGGUAGU